AGAGUUUGAUCAUGGCUCAGGACGAACGCUGGCGGCGUGCUUAACACAUGCAAGUCGAACGGAAAGGCCCUUCGGGGUACUCGAGUGGCGAACGGGUGAGUAACACGUGGGUGAUCUGCCCUGCACUUUGGGAUAAGCCUGGGAAACUGGGUCUAAUACCGAAUAGGACCGCGCGCUUCAUGGUGUGUGGUGGAAAGCUUUUGCGGUGUGGGAUGGGCCCGCGGCCUAUCAGCUUGUUGGUGGGGUAAUGGCCUACCAAGGCGACGACGGGUAGCCGGCCUGAGAGGGUGACCGGCCACACUGGGACUGAGAUACGGCCCAGACUCCUACGGGAGGCAGCAGUGGGGAAUAUUGCACAAUGGGCGCAAGCCUGAUGCAGCGACGCCGCGUGAGGGAUGACGGCCUUCGGGUUGUAAACCUCUUUCAGUAGGGACGAAGCGAAAGUGACGGUACCUACAGAAGAAGGACCGGCCAACUACGUGCCAGCAGCCGCGGUAAUACGUAGGGUCCGAGCGUUGUCCGGAAUUACUGGGCGUAAAGAGCUCGUAGGUGGUUUGUCGCGUUGUUCGUGAAAACUCACAGCUUAACUGUGGGCGUGCGGGCGAUACGGGCAGACUAGAGUACUGCAGGGGAGACUGGAAUUCCUGGUGUAGCGGUGGAAUGCGCAGAUAUCAGGAGGAACACCGGUGGCGAAGGCGGGUCUCUGGGCAGUAACUGACGCUGAGGAGCGAAAGCGUGGGGAGCGAACAGGAUUAGAUACCCUGGUAGUCCAA
rnacentral:rRNA from 1 species